rnacentral:piRNA from 1 species
GUAGAGCAUCAGACUUUUAAUCUGAGGG